UUGUAAGACCGGACAUCCGAAAUACGGUUCUUGAAGUUUUGGAAAGAUUUUGUGAAAUAUCUACUGGGACUGAACUGUGGCAGUUUUGGGAAGAUUUUAUGAAAUAUCU